rnacentral:rRNA from 1 species
UNAGCGGAGGAAAAGAAACUAACAAGGAUUCCCCUAGUNACUGCGAGUGAAGCGGCAACAGCUCAAAUUUGAAAUCUGGCUCUUUCAGGGUCCGAGUUGUAAUUUGUAGAAGAUGCUUUGGGUGUGGCUCCGGUCUAAGUUCCUUGGAACAGGACGUCAUAGAGGGUGAGAAUCCCGUACGUGACUGGGCGCCUUCGCUCGUGUAAAGCUCUUUCGACGAGUCGAGUUGUUUGGGAAUGCAGCUCAAAAUGGGUGGUAAAUUUCAUCUAAAGCUAAAUAUUGGCCAGAGACCGAUAGCGCACAAGUAGAGUGAUCGAAAGAUGAAAAGCACUUUGGAAAGAGAGUUAAACAGUACGUGAAAUUGUUGAAAGGGAAGCGCUUGCAACCAGACUUGCGCGCUGUUGAUCAUCCGAGCUUUUGCCCGGUGCACUCAGCAGCGCUCAGGCCAGCAUCGGUUUUGGUGGGCGGAUAAAGGCCUUGGGAAUGUAGCUCUCUUCGGGGAGUGUUAUAGCCCUCGGUGCAAUGCGCCCUACCGGGACCGAGGACCGCGCUUCGGCUAGGAUGCUGGCGUAAUGGUUGUAAGCGACC